UACGUAGGGGGCUAGCGUUGUCCGGAAUCAUUGGGCGUAAAGCGCGCGUAGGCGGCCCGGUAAGUCCGCUGUGAAAGUCAAAGGCUCAACCUUUGAAUGUCAGCGGAUACUGCCGGGCUAGAGUCCGGAAGAGGCGAGUGGAACUCCUGGUGUAGCGGUGGAAUGCGCAGAUAUCGAGAGGAACACCAGUGGCGAAGGCGAGUCUCUGGACGACUCCUGACACUGAGGCACGAAAGCUGGGGGAGCAAACAGG
rnacentral:rRNA from 1 species